GGUUGAUCCUGCCAGUAGUCAUAUGCUUGUCUCAAAGAUUAAGCCAUGCAUGUCUCAGUGUAAACUUUUAAACAGUGGAACUGCGAAUGGCUCAUUAUAACAGUUAUAGUUUAUUUGAUAAUCAUUUUUACAUGGAUAACCGUGGGAAUUCUAGGGCUAAUACAUGCGUAAACCCGUAAGGGAUGUGUUUAUUAGAUUAAAACCAUCACAGUGUUCACACUGUACAGUUGGAAUGAUAAUAACCGAUCGAAUCGCACGCUUCUGCGGCGAUAAAUCAUUCAAGUUUCUGAC
rnacentral:rRNA from 1 species